AAACGGGUGUCCAGCAGAGAUGGUCAGGACCUCAGCCCGCAGCUAUGAGAAGGGGUCCUCCGGGUGGAGGGAAGAGUCUAGCCCCGCAGGCGAGGCGGGGAAGCAGAGGCGUGCUUCCAAGACGUCCAGAGGCGCGAUCAGGAUAUAUAUGAUCACAUUUUAACUUAGUCUGCAACAUGUACUGAAUAAAAAGAAGAUAGUGCAAAGCAAUUCUCCAACACAGUAAAAGGAAUCCUGAAUUUUCUCUUUAGUGAUGCUACACAUACUUACUUUGGACAUCAGCAAUCUAACUGCCGGCUUUGCAAACUCAUUCUUCAAGAGGCAAGUCAUUCUUGGUAACAGCGUCCUCAGGAAUGAAGCUCCUGCAGUUGAGGUUCAGUGAACGCUGCGUCAGGGAUCUGCGCAGCACGUGUGGAACCCAAUGAGAGUCCUUGCUGUGCAGGCACCGGGAUGCUCACAUAGUAAAAACUCGAGUCCAUCGGGAAGCCCAGGAACUGAAAGGCAUAAAGAAACCGAGUGCUAGAACACGAAGAUGACAUUUAGACACAGAUGCUUUUCUGCAAGUCACCACACUUUAAUUUUAAGAAAGGAGACUAGCGAUCUAUUGAAUAAUUCAUUCCCUCAUGGCACUGGUUCAACACCCCAGGCUCCUCUGCUGAGAAGCCUCCUUAUGUAGCUGUACUGGACAAGUGCGGUAGAAAAGACAGAACCCAGUGGGGAUGACAGAAUUCUUUAAUUGUCUGCAAAAGAGGAAAUCCAGUUGGUGGAGAGAAAAAUUAUUUCCACAUUGGAAAAAAAAGUAAUGACAAAAAUAAAAAGGCUUUGUCAAAUAUA
rnacentral:lncRNA from 1 species